rnacentral:rRNA from 1 species
AAUACAUGCAAGUACGAACGGAACACUUAUUUUUGAGAACCUCGCUUCCUUUGCGGGAUUUGUCAUCAGUAGUGUUUAGUGGCGGACGGGUGAGUAACACGUUUGGUACCUGCCCUUUAGUGGGGAAUAACUCGGCGAAAGUCGGGCUAAUACCGCAUGUGAUCCUUCGGGAUUAAAGCCUUCGGGCGCUAAAGGAGGGGCCUGCGUCUGAUUAGCUUGUUGGUAAGGUAAUGGCUUACCAAGGCGAUGAUCAGUAGCUGGUUCGAGAGGAUGAUCAGCCACACUGGAACUGAGAUACGGUCCAGACUCCUACGGGAGGCAGCAGUAAGGAAUCUUCCGCAAUGGACGAAAGUCUGACGGAGCAACGCCGCGUGCAGGAUGAAGGCUUUCGGGUCGUAAACUGCUUUGUAUGGGAAGAUUAUGACGGUACCAUACGAAUAAGGACCGGCUAACUACGUG